UCAUUAAAUCUGUUAAAUUUAUGAAAAGUAUGCUGGUAAAAAAAAAUAAAAAGCUGGAAUAUCACAAUCCAGUGUAAUUCUCACUAUAGGCGGUAAAGAAACGACGUCUCUAGUUGACUGGAUCUAUGAACAUGUAGAAAACCCUAUCUCUGUUGGAGCUUCUCCAUACCUUUUUAGCGCUGUUUGGUGGAACAAUUUUCAGAAGAUUUUUGAAGUGAAAAACACAACCUUUGUUCCUAUGUAUACGGACCUUAUUGAUUUGGUAUGGACGGAGGACAGACCCCCAUUACCAACUUCACCAAUUCACAUCCUUCCACCACCGCUUUCAGGCGAAACAUGGCAAAGCAAAAUAGAACGAACAUUACAUAUCAUGAAGGAAAAGAAUGCUGAGAUCUCAAGUUUUGACUAAUUUGGGUGAAAUAGCAUGUAAUGAUAACUUA